rnacentral:rRNA from 1 species
AUUGAACGCUGGCGGCAGGCCUAACACAUGCAAGUCGAACGGUAACAGGAAACAGCUUGCUGUUUCGCUGACGAGUGGCGGACGGGUGAGUAAUGUCUGGGAAACUGCCUGAUGGAGGGGGAUAACUACUGGAAACGGUAGCUAAUACCGCAUAACGUCGCAAGACCAAAGUGGGGGACCUUCGGGCCUCAUGCCAUCAGAUGUGCCCAGAUGGGAUUAGCUAGUAGGUGGGGUAACGGCCAACCUAGGCGACGAUCCCUAGCUGGUCUGAGAGGAUGACCAGCCACACUGGAACUGAGACACGGUCCAGACUCCUACGGGAGGCAGCAGUGGGGAAUAUUGCACGAUGGGCGCAAGCCUGAUGCAGCCAUGCCGCGUGUGUGAAGAAGGCCUUCGGGUUGUAAAGCACUUUCAGCGGGGAGGAAGGCGGUGAGGUUAAUAACCUCAUCGAUUGACGUUACCCGCAGAAGAAGCACCGGCUAACUCCGUGCCAGCCGCCGCUGUAA